AAUGGAGGCAACUCUGAUCCAGCCAUGCCGCGUGCAGGAUGACGGCCCUAUGGGUUGUAAACUGCUUUUAUACGGGAAAAAACCCCACUACGUGUAGAGGGCUGAUGGUACCGUAAGAAUAAGGAUCGGCUAACUCCGUGCCAGCAGCCGCGGUAAUACGGAGGAUCCGAGCGUUAUCCGGAUUUAUUGGGUUUAAAGGGUGCGUAGGCGGAUUUGUAAGUCAGUGGUGAAAUCCUGCAGCUUAACUGUAGAACUGCCAUUGAUACUGCAAGUCUUGAGUACAUAUGAUGUGGGCGGAAUGUGUAGUGUAGCGGUGAAAUGCUUAGAUAUUACACAGAACACCGAUUGCGAAGGCAGCUCACAAAACUGUAACUGACGCUGAGGCACGAAAGCGUGGGGAGUGAA
rnacentral:rRNA from 1 species